rnacentral:sRNA from 1 species
ACAUCCAGAACCACUCCUGUCUGAGGGCCGGCU